rnacentral:rRNA from 1 species
GACGAGCCUCACAAACGUUAUUCGGAAUCACUGGGCUUAAAGGGUGCGUAGGCGGUGUGGAAAGUCGGAUGUGAAAUACCUCAGCUUAACUGAGGAACUGCACUCGAUACUUCCAUGCUAGAGUAAGACAGAGGUGAGUGGAACUGAGGGUGGAGCGGUGAAAUGCGUUGAUAUCCUCAGGAACACCGGUGGCGAAGGCGGCACGCUGGACCCUUUCUGACGCUGAGGCGCGAAAGCCAGGGGAGCAAACGGG